GCAAAAAUUGGGAGUGUGCCGCACGAAUAUUCUACAAUAGCAGGUAUUGAAGAAUCCGUACAAGAAAUUUUACUAAAUUUGAAAGAAAUUGUAUUGAGAAGUAAUCUCUAUGGAGUUAGAGAAGCAUCCAUUUGCAUCAAAGGUCCUAGAUACAUAACUGCUCAAGAUAUCAUCUUACCGCCUUCCGUAGAAAUCAUUGAUACGGCACAACCUAUAGCUAACUUGACAGAGCCCAAUGAUUUCUGUAUUGAUUUACAAAUCAAGAGAGAUCGUGGAUAUCAGACAGAACUCAGAAAGAACUAUCAAGAUGGAAGUUAUCCUAUAGAUGUUGUAUCCAUGUCUGUUCGAAAUGUGAAGUAUAGUAUUUUUUCUUGUGGGAAUGGAAAUGAAAAACACGAGAUACUUUUUCUAGAAAUAUGGACUAAUGGAAGUUUAACCCCUAAGGAAGCACUUUAUGAGGCUUCUCGUAAUUUGAUUGAUUUAUUUGAACUUCAAUUCCACCCAGCUCAGAUUCUAUGUAGCAGUGGGGAAGACCUGUUUAUACUUUUAUUGAGAAUUCCAUUUCUUCCUGCCGCACCCCAAUUCUUUCCCAGCAGUUGA
rnacentral:rRNA from 1 species